UACGAAGGAUCCAAGCGUUAUCCGGAUUUAUUGGGUUUAAAGGGUGCGUAGGCGGCUUAUUAAGUCAGUGGUGAAAGACUUCAGCUUAACUGAAGAACUGCCAUUGAUACUGAUGAGCUUGAGUACAGUUGAGGUGGGCGGAAUGUGUCAUGUAGCGGUGAAAUGCUUAGAUAUGACACAGAACACCGAUUGCGAAGGCAGCUCGCUAAACUGUAACUGACGCUGAGGCACGAAAGCGUGGGGAGCGAACAGGA
rnacentral:rRNA from 1 species